AUGACCCCCAGCCUGGCCAUCGCCUCCUCCUGCUGCUCCCCGCGGGUACAGGCGGGACCUGCGCUGCCGCUCCGCAGCCGGUACCGCGUGUUCCCUAAUAACUGCGCCUCCGGUGUCUAUUCCAAGAUCAACCUGGUGGAGUCCAGACGGGGAAUCAAGAAACCUGGAGAUACCCUCAGACUGACCUGCACCGUGUCCGGAUUCUCUCUCACUAGCUACGCGGUGCACUGGGCCCGCCAGCCAGCGGGGAAAGGGUUGGACUGGAUGGGAGGUAUCUGGGCUGAUGGGGGCACUGCUUAUAGCAAUGCUCUCAAAAGUCGACUCGCCAUCACCAGAGACACCUCCAAAGGCCAAGUGUCCCUCCAACUGACCGGCCUGCAGCCCGCAGACACCUCCGUGUAUUACUGUGUCAGAUACACACAGUGA